GCCGCCCCCCUUCUGCGGAUUGUUCGUUAUCCAUUCAUUUCUUGUUUCUUGGUCUUGGGUCACAUCUAGUGUUCUUGAUUUCGUUAACCCUCUGUUUAUUCUUGCCUAGAGGGAUUAGAUUAAACGAUAAUAAGGGUGAAUUCUUCGAGUAAAUAUCGGAACACACAGUGAGUCCCACAGUGAGAAUUGUUCAAGGAAUUUGCUGUUCCGGCAACUGCACAUGGCGUCUGUCUCGGCAACUGUAUAGGCUUGAAUUGCUUUGGAGUUCGCCGUAGCACCAAGCAGUAGAUUUCUCUCCGUGUGUCCUGUUUUUAACCAGCGGAACAACAGUGAAUAAAUGUGACCGAUGCAAAACUUCUUUUCAGCUGCCUGACGUACAGUACAGGCGCUCCUUUUUUGUUCAAAGUUUUGGCUGCAUGCCGUUUCCAAACAAAAAAAAAAGGGAAAAUUGGCUGGAUGCACGGUUUGGUCGGAUUUCCCUUCCUGGAAGUCACCGGUUAGCACUUAGCAGGAGGAGCUACUCCGGUUGCUGUCGUGUACACUCCAGUCGGUGCUACUGCUACCACCUACUCACCAUGUUCGUUCCUUUGGUUGGUGGUGCCACAUGAUCUGCCGCACCUAAAAUGGGGAAAUUCAUGUGAGUGUAAAGAGCGUACGUCCGCCCUUAAAAUCGCUGAGACCACUUGGUUGGCCGGGCUAUAUUCACCACUGUACUAAUGGGAUCCAGGGGAAAAAAAAUCUUAGGUUGUUAAUUAUCAUGUUUAUUUUUGGGUGAGGUUUUAUGGCUAUCAUUGCACUGGUGGCAACUUGUGGCUUGAUGAUUGCUGGAUAUGCUCCCAUGGAUGUUUAGGGUCUAUCGGGAAGUAGAAUAGUAUGCUUGAUAUCACCUUGAUUACUUCUUCCUCUGUCCUGUAAUAUAAGUGUGUUUAGUGGAGGGUGUGCUUAUUAUUGGUCAAAGAUUGUAUUAUUUAGCAUGUCAAAUACUUCCUUCGUCCAGGUGUAUAAGUUAUCUUAAGUUGUGCACGGGGACCAAGGCAGAGAGAAAAAUGAGAUAACUCAAUGUUUGUUUGUUAAUUGAUAGCAUUGCAUGCAAUGACCGACCACUGCAUGUCGUGUUUGAUAGUCUCAAGUCAUUGAAAGCAUAUACGCCCCACAUUUUUCAUUGGUUAAUUCUUUUAUUUAUGUGAAGAAACAAAAAAUAGGAGUUAAUGCAUCGCGCCUACAUGUUCUGAGAUUAUUUCGUUUUUCUAAAAUGACUUGUACACCUAGACGAAGAGAAUACUACAACACUGCUAUAUACACGACACAAUGCACACGAUUCAUGCACGAUACUUAAAUCCAGCCGGACAUGCACAUGAUUGAGAAGGGCACUAGCGGCUGGAUUAGCACGUCGUGCAUGAUCGGGCAGCACUGUCGUCUGGGUAGCAGUUUCGGGAGUACUACUAGUGAGAUGAUGUGGUCUUGAUGACCCUUGUCAUUCAUUCGUCAAAGCGUUAGCGUGCUUGUGGCCUCUAAGAGCAUCUCCAGCCGUUGCCCCCCCCCCACCCCCAAAGAGGCAUAAAAAUCACCCCUGGAGGGAAGCCGGCGAUACAAUCGGUGCUGGGGGUGGUUGGGCAUUCAGCCGUCGCCCCCAGACGCCGAUAUUGGCCCAUUUUCGGCGAAUAAAGGGCCUAUAUAGGUGAGAAUAGGCCCAUAUUCGCUGUAGUUCGUCGUGGUUCGGCGUUCAAUUAUCAACAUAAAUAUUUUUUAUCACAUAGUUCAUCACAGAAAAUCAAAUAGUUCAACAAAAUAGUGCAAUAAUAAAUAGUUCAAUACAAAUUAUAUAGUUCAACAAAUAAAACUCAUAUUUCAUCGCACGUCGCGCCCGGCGUCGCCCUUGAGCCUUCAUAGGUGCUCCACCAGAUCCUGCUGCAGUUGAUGAUGCACCUGUUGGUCUCGGAUCUCCCGACGCAUACUGAGGUAGGCAGUCCAGGUUGCCGGCAGCUUGUGAUCAACUUCGGCUAGAGGACCCUGCCUGUAGUAUGGUUCAGUGUCAAACACUGGCUCUUCUUGCUCGCUCUCGACGAUCAUGUUGUGCAAGAUGACACAACAAGUCAUGAUCUCUCACAUUUGAUCUUUCGACCAGGUCUGAGCAGGAUACCAGACAACAGUAAAUCGAGAUUGGAGCACACCAAAUGCCCGCUCGACAUCCUUCCGGCAAGCUUCCUGCAUAUUGGCAAAGUGAGACUUCUUGCCUCCUAUCGCAGCGUUUGAGAUAGUCUUCACGAAUGUAGACCAUCUCGGAUAGAUGCCAUCAGCUAGGUAGUAUCCUUGUUGUAGUGCCACCCAUUGACCUCGAAGUUCACCGUAGGAGAAUGACCUUCAACAAGAUUGACAAAGAUAGGGGAGCACUGUAGCACGUUGAUGUCAUUGUGAGUUCCUGGCAUACCAAAGAAGGAGUGCCAAAUCCAGAGGUCCUGUGUGGCCACCGUCUUAAGUAACACACUGCAACCGCCUUUGGCGCCUUUGUACAUCCCCUGCCAAGCAAAUGGGCAGUUCUUCCAUUUUCAAUGCAUGCAGUCGAUGCUUCCAAGCAUCCCAGGAAAUCCUCUUGCUGCAUUCUAUGCUAUGAUCCGAGCAGUGUCUUCCGCAUUGGGUGUUCUUAAGUAUUGCGGUCCAAACACUGCCACCACUGUCCGACAGAACUUGUAGAAACACUCAAUGGUGGUGGACUCGGCCAUGCGCCCAUAGUCGUCGAGUGAAUCACCGGGAGCUCUGUAUGCAAGCAUCCUCAUCGCUGUCGUGCACUUCUGGAUCGAGGUGAAUCCAAGUUUGCCGAUGCAAUCCAUCUUGCACUUGAAGUAGCUGUCGAACUCUCGGAUGGAAUUCACAAUCCUAAGGAAGAGCUUUCGGCUCAUCCGAUAACGACGCCGAAAUGUUUUGUCACCGUGAAGUGGAGCAUCGGCGAAGUAGUCGGAGUAGAGCAUGCAGUAGCCUUCGAGACGAUGCCGGUUCUUUGCUUUCAUCCGCCCCGGCGCCGAGCCACCUCGCCGCGGCUUUUCAUUGCUCACCAGCAGCUCGGCGAGGGCGGCGAGCACCAUGAGAUGCUCAUCUUCCUGGACGUCGGCCUCGGCUUCCUCCUCCAGCAGCGCUGCGAGCGCUUCCUCGUCGUGCGAGUCCAUCGCCAAGGCAGGCAAAUCGCCGAACACCUUGCGCCCGGUGGGCGUGUACCCGCCGCUAAACUGUCCCUCCGCAGCCGGAAACGGCGACAAAAACGCCCAGCUGCUGGUGGAGGGGCUACCUCGGCGAAUCUCUGCUCUUUUUCUGACGGGGAUUGGCUAUCUAGCGGUGAAGGGCAGCGGGCGGCGCCGGGAUACAUCUAGUGGCGGCCGAGGACGCCGGGGGAGGGGGGAGGGGGGAGGCGAGUCGGGGAAGAAAAACUUGACUUUUCACCUGACGGUGUGGGCCAGUCGCGCUUUUGCUUUGCGCCGGAGACCCCGAUCGUCCCCGAGUGCGCCGAGUUCGACCUGUGAUCGCCGGGCCCAAAAAUGGACCGAACCGGAAAUACUCUAAUCGAAGAACAUCACACAUGUUGCCUCUGCCGUUCUGCCAUUUCUUGGAUCUACUGUACAUUUAUUCCAGCACCUGCACAUGGGGGAGGGGUGCAGUCCCUUUCUUUUUACUUUUCCUGUCGAUCGGCUCAGAUUUGAACUAUGUGAUUCUCUGUAGCAGGAAGCAGUUGUUCUUCAAGCUUUGCCACCGAUGACGACAGCCACAGAAGCAGGAAUUGUCGUGAGCAUGUGGCAGGUGAGAAUGGACGGAGCUUUCAGUUGCAGCCGUUGACAAAAAAUAAGCGGUGCUACUGCUACCUACCCAUGUUCCUUGGCGGUGCAGAGUUAACUAGAUUUGGUUUUCCGCAAAAAAAAAAAA
rnacentral:lncRNA from 1 species